rnacentral:tRNA from 1 species
GCUGGUGUAGCUCAGAGGUAGAGCAACGCACUCGUAAUGCGUAGGUCUGGGGUUCGAUUCCCUUCACCAGCA